UAAGAGGUCCUGCCUGCCCAGUGACUAUAUGUUUAACGGCCGCGGUACUUUGACCGUGCGAAGGUAGCGCAAUCACUUGUCUUUUAAAUGAAGACCUGUAUGAAUGGCACGACGAGGGCUUAACUGUCUCCUUUUUCCAGUCAAUGAAAUUGAUCUUCCCGUGCAGAAGCGGGAAUAAUAUCAUAAGACGAGAAGACCCUGUGGAGCUUUAGACACUAAAUCAGCCCUUGUCCAAGAAUCCCAAUUAAAGGAAUGAACACUAGAGUGAGACCUGAUCUAAUGUCUUCGGUUGGGGCGACCUUGGGGAAAGAAAAAUCCCCCAUGCGGAACGGAAAUACCAUAUUUCUAAAACUAAGAGAGACCACUCAAAGUAUCAAAAAUUUUGACCAACUAUAUGAUCCGGCUUAACGCCGAUCAACGGACCAAGUUACCCCAGGGAUAACAGCGCAAUCCUCUUUUAGAGCCCAUAUCGACAAGAGGGUUUACGACCUCGAUGUUGGAUCAGGACAUCCUAAUGGUGCAGCCGCUAUUAAGGGUUCGUUUGUUCAACGAUUAAAGUCC
rnacentral:rRNA from 1 species